UCGAGAAUCUUUCGCAAUGCCCGAAAGGGUGACGAAGCGACGCCGCGUGUGGGAUGAAGGCCUUCGGGUUGUAAACCACUGUCGGGAGUUAAGAAUUGUAGGAAUGCUAAUAGUAUUUCUACUUGACUAAGGCUCCGGAGGAAGCCACGGCUAACUCUGUGCCAGCAGCCGCGGUAAUACAGAGGCGGCAAGCGUUGUUCGGAAUUAUUGGGCGUAAAGAGCAUGUAGGCGGCUAUGUAAGUCGGUUGUGAAAGCCUUCCGCUUAACGGAAGAAUGGCGGUCGAAACUGCAUGGCUUGAGUGCGGGAGGGGAGAGUGGAACUUCUGGUGGAGCGGUGAAAUGCGUAGAUAUCAGAAGGAACGUCGGCGGCGAAAGCGACUCUCUAGACCGUAACUGACGCUGAGUGUGCGAAAGCUAGGGGAGCAAACGGGAUUAGAUACCCCGGUAGUCCUAGCCGUAAACGAUGGG
rnacentral:rRNA from 1 species